rnacentral:sRNA from 1 species
UGGACGCACCUGAGGAAGCCUGAAAACAGUGAAUGUGAUGCUACAGCAAAAAACAAGAAUGAGUGCAGCCUUCAUAUUCAUGCUUCCUACAGCAUCUCCCAGAAACUGAAUGUUCCAAUGGCCCCACUCUCAGAGCCGAAUGCCGUAGGCAUUGUCAUUGCUCAUGGUAGCGUGGGGGAUGCCAUCUCAGUGAUGGUUCCAGAUGUGUACAUCUCAGAUGAUGGGGGUUAUUCCUGGACAAAGAUGCUGGAAGGACCCCACUAUUACACCAUCCUGGAUUCUGGAGGCAUCAUUGUGGCCAUUGAGCACAGCAGCCGUCCUAUCAAUGUGAUUAAGUAUGCGUGAACUCAUCUCACACACACUGUCUGCAUAGAGGGCAACUGGGGGAAUGUUCUUCAGUUUAUUGGGGGGAUGUUACAGACUAUAAUUCAAAUUUUUGCAUUUGACAGAACUAUAGAUAAGAUUCUAGAAAGGAUUGCUUUUAAUUGGCAACUCAGAUUAAAUGGCAUUGUUUUUUCUUC